AAAGCGUAAUAGCUCACUGGUCGAGUCGGCCUGCGCGGAAGAUGUAACGGGGCUAAACCAUGCACCGAAGCUGCGGCAGCGACGCUUAUGCGUUGUUGGGUAGGGGAGCGUUCUGUAAGCCUGUGAAGGUGGCCUGUGAGGGUUGCUGGAGGUAUCAGAAGUGCGAAUGCUGACAUAAGUAACGAUAAAGCGGGUGAAAAGCCCGCUCGCCGGAAGACCAAGGGUUCCUGUCCAACGUUAAUCGGGGCAGGGUGAGUCGACCCCUAAGGCGAGGCCGAAAGGCGUAGUCGAUGGGAAACGGGUUAAUAUUCCCGUACUUGGUGUUACUGCGAAGGGGGGACGGAGAAGGCUAUGUUGGCCGGGCGACGGUUGUCCCGGUUUAAGCGUGUAGGUGUGUGUUCCAGGUAAAUCCGGUUCACUUUAACACUGAGGCGUGAUGACGAGGCACUACGGUGCUGAAGUAACAAAUGCCCUGCUUCCAGGAAAAGCCUCUAAGCAUCAGGUAACAUCAAAUCGUACCCCAAACCGACACAGGUGGUCAGGUAGAGAAUACCAAGGCGCUUGAGAGAACUCGGGUGAAGGAACUAGGCAAAAUGGUGCCGUAACUUCGGGAGAAGGCACGCUGACACGUAGGUGAAGUGAUUUACUCACGGAGCUGAAGUCAGUCGAAGAUACCAGCUGGCUGCAACUGUUUAUUAAAAACACAGCACUGUGCAAACACGAAAGUGGACGUAUACGGUGUGACGCCUGCCCGGUGCCGGAAGGUUAAUUGAUGGGGUCAGCGCAAGCGAAGCUCCUGAUCGAAGCCCCGGUAAACGGCGGCCGUAACUAUAACGGUCCUAAGGUAGCGAAAUUCCUUGUCGGGUAAGUUCCGACCUGCACGAAUGGCGUAAUGAUGGCCAGGCUGUCUCCACCCGAGACUCAGUGAAAUUGAACUCGCUGUGAAGAUGCAGUGUACCCGCGGCAAGACGGAAAGACCCCGUGAACCUUUACUAUAGCUUGACACUGAACAUUGAGCCUUGAUGUGUAGGAUAGGUGGGAGGCUUUGAAGUGUGGACGCCAGUCUGCAUGGAGCCGACCUUGAAAUACCACCCUUUAAUGUUUGAUGUUCUAACGUGGACCCGUUACCCGGGUUGCGGACAGUGUCUGGUGGGUAGUUUGACUGGGGCGGUCUCCUCCUAAAGAGUAACGGAGGAGCACGAAGGUUGGCUAAUCCUGGUCGGACAUCAGGAGGUUAGUGCAAUGGCAUAAGCCAGCUUGACUGCGAGCGUGACGGCGCGAGCAGGUGCGAAAGCAGGUCAUAGUGAUCCGGUGGUUCUGAAUGGAAGGGCCAUCGCUCAACGGAUAAAAGGUACUCCGGGGAUAACAGGCUGAUACCGCCCAAGAGUUCAUAUCGACGGCGGUGUUUGGCACCUCGAUGUCGGCUCAUCACAUCCUGGGGCUGAAGUAGGUCCCAAGGGUAUGGCUGUUCGCCAUUUAAAGUGGUACGCGAGCUGGGUUUAGAACGUCGUGAGACAGUUCGGUCCCUAUCUGCCGUGGGCGCUGGAGAACUGAGGGGGGCUGCUCCUAGUACGAGAGGACCGGAGUGGACGCAUCACUGGUGUUCGGGUUGUCAUGCCAAUGGCACUGCCCGGUAGCUAAAUGCGGAAGAGAUAAGUGCUGAAAGCAUCUAAGCACGAAACUUGCCCCGAGAUGAGUUCUCCCUGAGACUUAAAGUCUCCUGAAGGAACGUUGAAGACGACGACGUUGAUAGGCCGGGUGUGUAAGCGCAGCGAUGCGUUGAGCUAACCGGUACUAAUGAACCGUGAGGCUUAACCCUACAACGCCGAAG
rnacentral:rRNA from 1 species